rnacentral:rRNA from 1 species
GGCCUUUUGGAGAUUUAUAUAAAAGGUUGGGCCUGCCCGGUGAUCUGAAAUGGUUUAACGGCUGCGAUUGAAACCGUACUAAGGUAGCAUAAUAAUUUGCCCUUUAAUUGGGGGAGAGAAUGAAUGGUUUGACGGUAAAAAAGCUGUUUUAAAAAUAAAAAAAGAAGUUAACUUUUAAGUGAAAAGGCUUAAGUUUUUAUAAAAGACGAGAAGACCCCGUCGAGCUUAAUUAGAAUAACUUAAAUGUAGGUUAUUUAAAAUUUUAUUGGGGCAAUAGAAAAUGAAAUGAAUCAUUUUUUUUAUUAUAAGGAUCCAGUUUUGACUGAAAAAAGCAAAAGCUACCGCGGGGAUAACAGGGUAAUUUUUUCUGAGAGUUCAUAUUUAAGAAGAAGUUUGCUACCUCGAUGUUGGAUUAGAAUUUCUUUAUGCUUGC